UCGGCUUAGAGUUUGAUCAUGGCUCAGAUUGAACGCUGGCGGCAGGCUUAACACAUGCAAGUCGAACGGUAAAGUAGCUUGCUACUUACGAGUGGCGGACGGGUGAGUAACGUAUGGGAAUUUACCGAAUGGAGGGGGACAACAGUUGGAAACGGCUGCUAAUACCGCAUAACGUCGAGAGACCAAAGGGUUUCGACUUGCCAUUUGAUGAGCCCAUAUGAGAUUAGCUAGUUGGUGUGGUAAUGGCUCACCAAGGCGACGAUCUCUAGCUGGUUUGAGAGGAUGACCAGCCACACUGGGACUGAGACACGGCCCAGACUCCUACGGGAGGCAGCAGUGGGGAAUAUUGCACAAUGGGGGGAACCCUGAUGCAGCCAUGCCGCGUGUAUGAAGAAGGCCUUAGGGUUGUAAAGUACUUUCGUGGAGGAG
rnacentral:rRNA from 1 species